rnacentral:misc_RNA from 1 species
AACCAUAGAAACCUGCGGAGUACCUGCGGAAGGAUCAUUACCGAGUGAGGGCCCUCCGGGUCCAACCUCCCACCCGUGUUUAACGAACCUUGUUGCUUCGGCGGGCCCGCCUCACGGCCGCCGGGGGGCACCCCGCCCCCGGGCCCGCGCCCGCCGAAGACACCUGUGAACGCUGUCUGAAGUUGCAGUCUGAGACACUAGCUCAAUCAGUUAAAACUUUUAGCAAUGGAUCUCAGAUCG